AGAGUUUGAUCAUGGCUCAGCCUGAACGCUGGCGGCGUGGCUAAGACAUGCAAGUCGCACGGGGUGGAGCAAUCCAUCCAGUGGCGAACGGGUGAGUAAUGAAUCGCUAACGUGCCCCGGACUCCGGGAUAGCCGUCCGAAAGGGCGGGUAAUACCGGAUGACGUACCCCUCAGGCAUCUGCGGGGGUCCCAAAGGUCCGCCGGUCUGGGAGCGGGCGAUUUCGUAUCAGCUAGUUGGUGCGGGUAACGGCCCACCAAGGCGACGACGCGUAGCCGGACCGAGAGGUUGGCCGGCCACAUCGGGACUGAGACACUGCCCGGACUCCUACGGGGGGCUGCAGUAACGAAUCUUCCCCAAUGCACGCAAGUGUGAGGGAGCGACGCCGCGUGUGGGACGAAGUCCUUCGGGAUGUAAACCACUGUCAGGGGACACCAAGUUCUGAGGAUCCCCAGAGGAAGGGGCGGCUAACUCUGUGCCAGCAGCCGCGGUAAGACAGAGGCCCCGAGCGUUAGGCGGAAUCACUGGGCUUAAAGCGUGUGUAGGCGGGUCGUUAAGUACCUUGUGAAAUCCCACGGCUCACCCGUGGAACUGCUGGGUAUACUGGCGAUCUUGGGCCGGUCAGGGGCAGUCGGAACAAGCGGUGGAGCGGUGAAAUGCGUAGAUAUCGCUUGGAACGCCGACGGCGAAAGCAGACUGCUGGGACCGCGCCGACGCUGAGACACGAAAGCCAGGGGAGCAAACGGGAUUAGAUACCCCAGUAGUCC
rnacentral:rRNA from 1 species